GAAGUGGGCGAGAUGACCGCUUCAGACUGCCUGUAUUAAAUUUAAAAUGGUAGAUUUGAAGAGGAAAGUCCGAGCUCCAUAGGAUACAGUGCUCCGUAACGCGGAGUGGGAGUGAUCCCGAGGAAAGUGCCACAGAAAAUAUACCGCCCCGCUUCUUGCUGUUCUCCCUGUGCUUUCUUGCCGAAAGUAGGCUCUGUAACCGAAAGUAGGCCCCUUUAGGGGGAGCGAAAGCAAGAACAGGGAUGAAGCAAGAAAGCAGCGGGGUAAGGGUGAAAAGGUGGGGCCCAAUUAUGGGCUUAAUGUAAGAGCCCACCGCUUUCUGAGUGAUUAGAGAGGCAUGGCAAACCCCACUGGGAGAAAGGCUAAAUAAAGAGGAAUAAAGUGAUCCGCUUUUUAAACCUCUGGGUAGGCCGAUUGAUUCCGAUGGCAACAUCAGAACUAGAUUAAUGGUCAUCAAGAACAGAACUCGGCUUAUUGCCUGCUUCUGAU
rnacentral:RNase_P_RNA from 2 species